GGGACACAGAGUGCCCAGGGCCCUUCAGCCUUCACUAAAGGCAGGGCUCCAGAGCAUGUCCUGCUGGCAGCUUGGUCUCAGUUCUACUGCUUUUAUUGGUCUCAGUUUUAUUGCUCUCCAGCUGAAAGAGGUCCAAGGAGUCGAGUAACACGAACUGAGGAGUUCACUCCUCUGCUUUUGGAGUCCUCAUCACAGAUGGCAGGUUCAGGAGAAGCUGCCAGUGGUGCCUAAUGAAGAGAACUCAAGGUAAAUUAUGCCUCUUGUCAGUUAAUUCAAAUUUUGUGCUGGCAUUCAGAAGAGAUCCGUCUCAUCCCAUAAACAUUAUUAGCA
rnacentral:lncRNA from 1 species